UGUUUUUGCCCCAAAAUAUCCCUCAAUGGCGUGCAAUGGUGGUAUCAAAGCGAAUAACGGACAAUUGAAUUGAAUAUUAACAUGACUAAUUUAGAGGGAUUAGCAGCACAGGAAGCCAAAAUAGUCUGACAUUAUCAUAUACGUCUCAAGUUUCUACGCCUCCCAGGCCAGUAAACAUGAGAGGGUGGGAAUCAAGUGGGAUGUGCUGCUCCAAACUUUUCUGAGGCAAAGCUUAGAAACUUCAGCACAGGCUGUGACAGAACUGACGCAUCUGAUCCUCUCUGCUGAUCUGAAGACAUGUCUGAGUUAGGCUCCAUUGACAAUCCUGUGAAGUUCAAGGAUCAAGACUACGACUCCCUGCUGCAGAAGUGUCUCAAAUCUGCACUUCUGUUCUCAGACACGGUGUUUGCAGCGAACCAAAGCUCCCUCGGUAUUCCUGUGGAUUCUGAUCCUAAAAAGGCAGUAAAGUGGCUGCGCCCGAAGGAAAUCACAAGUAAUGCUGUCUUUGUCGAGGGCACCAUGGGCACCACCGAUAUCUGCCAGGGCCAGCUGGGUAACUGCUGGCUGCUGGCGGCCCUGUCCUGUCUCACCAUGCACCCGACUCUGUUUGUCAAAGUGGUUCCAUCUGGACAAAGCCUAAGUGAAUCCUACGCCGGCAUCUUCCGUUUCAGGUUCUGGCAGUAUGGUGAGUGGGUGGAGGUGGUAGUGGAUGACAGGCUGCCUGUGAGAGAGGGCCGUCUGCUUUUCAGCUACUCUCGCACCACCAACGAGUUCUGGAGCGCCCUGGUGGAGAAAGCUUAUGCCAAGCUGAUUGGUUCUUAUGGCAGUCUAAAAGGGGGGAUUAUCUCAGAGGGAAUGGAGGAUUUCACAGGGGGCAUUGCGUACUCCCUCCCCGUGUCUUCUCGGCCCCCACGCAUGCUCUGGAGAGCCAUCACUGCUGCCCUGGCCAGGAGCAGCCUGAUCAGCUGCUUCAUACAUGCUACGAGUGUGAAGGACAUUGGCAUUGUGACAUCAGAGGGUCUCAUUAAAGGUCAUGCCUAUGCUAUCACUGAUACAGAUAAGGUCCAGAGGGAGUCUGAAGAGGUCUUACUGGUGAGGCUGCGUAACCCCUGGGGGUUUAUUGAGUACUGUGGACCCUGGAGUGACAGGUGUAAAGACUGGGACCUUAUAGACAGUGCUCAGAAGACCCGACUUGAGUUGGCCAAAGUUGAAGAUGGAGAAUUCUGGAUUGGAAUAGAGGACUUUUGCCGACUGUUUAAUACAGUGGAAAUGUGCAGCGUGAAUCCGGACUCUAUGUCAGGGGAGGCGAGUGAUGACACGACCACCCCGUCCUGGACGCUGAGCUCACAUCAAGGCACCUGGGUCCCAAUGUGCUCUGCAGGGGGCAGCCGAAAAUACCCCAGAUCUUUCUGGAAAAACCCUCAGUUUCAGAUGACUCUGUCUGAGAAAGAUGUGGAUGACCAUGACUAUGGAGAGGAUGAUGAAGUGGAGGAAGGGGAUGGAGAAGAGGAUGAAGAAGUCACAGUGGCUCCGGUGAAAAAGACAGAGAAACUGGGAGAGAAAAAGAAGAAGUGCACGGUACUGGUGGAGCUUCUCCAGAAAUACCGCAGACAGAAAGAUAAAGUCAACUUCCUCUACAUCGCAUUUCACAUCUACAAGGUCCCCUCUGAGCUGAAGGACAAGCCAGGAUCUCUGGACCAGCAGUUCUUCUCCAAUAACCGUCCGGUUGCUCGCUCUGGAAAGUACCGCAGCAUCAGGAGCGUGUGGCGGAAGGUGCACCUGGAGCCUGGCAGUUAUGUCAUCCUAGCCUCCACAUACAGGCCCAACCAGCAGGGGGAGUUCUUCCUCCGCAUUUACACCAAAACCGGCAACAUACAGGGAUUCCAGGAUUUCCCCUGCACCAACAACUACUCUGUGAUGGUCAUGUCAAAGCCAGUCUUACCCGAGGACCAGUUCAGGGUGCAGAAGUGGUUUGAUGAAAAGGCUGGAUCUGAUGACAGAGUGAAUGCUGUGCAAUUUAUGAAUCUAGUGAACUCAGUGCUGGAAAAAGACUAUGAACUUCCCCUGGAGACCUGCAGACAGCUCAUCUUUGGAGAAGAUACUGGAGGCAGAGGCCGUCUGAACAGAGCUCAAGCUGAGAAGCUGCUCACUUCCCUACGCAAUCUGCAGUCUAUCUUUUUUCAGUUUGAUGAGGAUUCGUCAGGAACUAUGAGUCCGUUUGAACUCAGUUUGGCUCUGAAUGCUGCAGGUGUGGAGUGUGACAAUGUUGUGGAGCAGUUGUUGUGGGAGAGGUUUGGUGCCGGUGAACAGUACCUGCCCUUCUAUGGCUUUGUGUCUUGUGUUGCCAGACUGCAGGUGCUCUUUGAAUCAGCAGAGAAUGGCGGAAAAAAACACAAAAACAUCAAGCGAGUGGCAGUGCUGUGGACAAAAAAUGCCUUCUUAUUCAGAGAGGUCAGAGGGGAAUGGCCAGACUGGUUCAAGCGGACAGGAAGGUGGCAGUAACUGAAAUAACCAGACGUUACCGCAGCGCUAUGCAGAAGAGCCUUUCUAAACACAGUGUGUCAAAUGUGGACAUUCUACAGCAGCAGAAGAUCAUGUUCCAGUCCUGUCAGCUAAGAAUAGGACACCGAGGCUACAGUGGACACAAACUCACCAAAACUUGUCAGUAGAAGACUGGAAAAACAUUGCUUGGUCUAAAGAGUCCAUUCCUUCAGUGACAUCCAGAUGAAGUUUCUUGCUGACAGUGUGAAUCUAUGGCUGCUUCCUACACAUCUCUGGCUUAGAUGUAUCCUUUAAUGCCCUUUAAGCACUGGAAUGCUGCUCAUUCAAACACACACAAACACAAACAAAAUGAACAUUGAAUCAGAUACGUCACUUUCAUAAAGGGUUGAGGACAAAAACACUAUCCAUUAUGAUUCAUAUGCUAUUUAUUAUUAGAAAUUUGUAGCCAUUUUGUUAUUUAUUAAAUUUGUUAUAUUGAAUAUACGGUUUGCCCAUUAACAUAUGGUUAUCACUGUCUGCAUCCAGUGUGAAGAUCUCUACGAGUCGGAGACCAACCCAGAGGUGAAGGACAAGGGCAUCAACGCUUGGCUGCUCAGGCUGUUGGCUGUGUGAGCCUGUCCAGACCCGACACCUCAGCGGGACAGACCUGCUAGGCCAAGACUACUCUGACGUCAUCCAUCUGGGCCUACGUCUCCAACAUCACCCCCUUCUAUCUCAUUUGUGAUCUGCGGACCUUUGCCCUGCAGUUGCAUCCACCCACUCACUGCUCCAUCAGUUGGGGUCUAUGACCAUGUAGGUCAUUACUGCCUGGUUACAAAACAUUUCAUCCCCAUUAGAUAUUUUAAAGAGAUAUUUUACUUGUAAAUUAACAUUCUGUCAUCAUUUACUCACCCUCAUGUCGUUCCAAACCCAUAUGACUCUCAUUCAUCUGUGGAACACAAAAGAAGAUAUUUAGCAGAAUGUCCAAGUUGCUCUUUUUCCAUAUAAUAGAAGUGAAUACAGACCAGGUGAUCACCAUUCACUUUCAUUGCAUGGAAAAGAGCAGCUUGGACAUUCUGCUAAAUAUCUACUUUAGUGUUCCACGGAAGAAAGAAAUACAUAGUGAAGAUAAAUGAUGACAAAAUGUAAAAUGUUUGGUAAACAAUGUGUUUCAAUCUAUAUCUAAAAAGCAUUUUUUAAUAGAGCUACCAAUUUAAUGAUUUAGUAUGAUUCAGUGGUAGCAAAUAUUGAUAUAUUUCUUGUAACAAGCAGCCUAAUUGCUUUUUUUUUUUUCAUUCAUAUAGCAUGACUCGUACUUCCUCUUGUACUUUGUUUCCCUCUUAUGAACAUUUAUGUCUCUCUGCUUAAUGUCUUCAGAAGUUGCGGAUGUUUUUAUGCUUCCAAAUAUAAAAGCACAAGUCAUAAUCUUU